CGAACACUGCAUCUUCUAAUUGUACUAAACGUAGUACUAAUUGUACAAUAUAUUUGGCCCUUCUUCUUUGAUGAAUAAACACGUGUCUCACUUUUGCUUCACUUUGUGUGCAAUUUUUGCACUAUCAUCUCACAAUUCUCUAUAGAUUUCUAUCUCCUCUUCUGCUAAGCUUGGUCUAUUUUCUGAACUCUUCUUUGUAGGUCUCAACUCUUCAAUGGUGAAUCCAUGUGUUACUGAGUGUCUUCUCUUUAUGUAGACACUUAAAAUCUCUGUUGUUUGUUUUGAAUGCCAUACCAAAGUAUUUCUUCAUGAUUUCAGGGGCUGUUUUGGGUGCUUGUAAUUCCUGUACUAUGCUUCGACACAAAAACACAAGAGCAUAAAAUCCAGCUUUGUUAAUGCAAGUUCCUCCACGGUUAGUUUGUCCGAAGUAAUGACUUUUGAUGAGCAACAAAUGGCAUUGGGUUGUGAGUACGUACACAUUUUCUCCUCUUCUAAGGCUGAAUACAAAUCCAAUUAAUAUGUGUGUCAGUUUAAAUAUUAGACAAUCUUGCAUCAAUGAGUAGCAGCAAAAAAAAAUUGAUACUUAAUACUAUUUAAUAGUUAUAGAUAAAUGUAAGGGAAAAUGACAGAUAUAUCCCGAACUAUCAUAAAUGAUACGUCAAUAUCCUUCGUUAUGCUUUCGGAUUGUAUAUAUCCUUACUGUCAAUAUUUCGGAACAUAUAUACCCUUAGAAUAGACGGAGAGACACGUGUCAUGAUCUUAACGGUCCAUACAAAUUUAAUUUAGUUCUUACCCAUAAAUAAAAAAACCGACCCAUCUUUCAAAAUUUUAACCCAUUUAUAACCCAUAUUGUAACCAAAAGCACCCAAAGUCAAAAGUGAAGUUUCAGUAAGACAAUCAAAACUCUCAAAUUCAUCUUUUCUUAACUUCUAUACACAAAACCUUAUUUCAAACGUUAAGAUUUGAAAAACAAUUUCAAGCGAAGAAGAAGAUUUUUUUUUUUCCAGAAAUCCUUUGGACUAUUUCUUAUUCUUCAUGUUCUUCAACCAAAAAUGUUUGUAGAAUAUUUCAAUUGAUUUGACUAAAAUCACUCAUAAAGAUUUUGAUUUUGAUUGUAUGAAAUUGAAAAAAAUAUGAUGAAACUCAAAUUACGAAAUUCAAUUUCACUUAUAAAAGCAACCAUCAAGUCUUAAUCUUUCACACUCAAUUCAUUAUUCCACAAUUUUUGAUAUUAUCCUAACGUUUAUUGC